rnacentral:rRNA from 1 species
CUACGGGGGGCUGCAGUGGGGAAUAUUGCACAAUGGGGGAAACCCUGAUGCAGCAACGCCGCGUGAAGGAAGAAGGCUCUUGGGUUGUAAACUUCUUUGAAUGGGGACGAAAAAAAUGACGGUACCCAUAAAACAAGCCACGGCUAACUACGUGCUAGCAGCCGCGGUAAUACGUAGGUGGCAAGCGUUAUCCGGAAUUACUGGGUGUAAAGGGCGUGUAGGCGGGAGAGCAAGUCAGAUGUGAAAUGCCAAGGCUUAACCAUGGAACUGCAUCUGAAACUGUUUUUCUUGAGUACUGGAGAGGAAAGUGGAAUUCCUAGUGUAGCGGUGAAAUGCGUAGAGAUUAGGAGGAACACCAGUGGCGAAGGCGGCUUUCUGGACAGUAACUGACGCUGAGGCGCGAAAGCGUGGGGAGCAAACAGGAUUAGAUACCCGAGUAGUC